GGAUUCAGUUUCUUUAUAAAUUUAAGCUUAAAGGCGGAAUCACAGUUAAAUACGAUCUUAUAGCGAAACUAAGUUAGCUAAAAAUUAGCUAGCUGCAGGCUAAAGUGAGAGCUGUCACAGAAAGUUAGCGUUAGGUGGAUAAUGAAGAGCUCGAGCUGACCGACAGUGUCCCUAAAGAUAUCUGUGGUUCUUUUAAUGCGUUUUCUGUGUGCUGGUUGACUAGAGUGUUGUGAACAGGUCGCUGGAUGUUACGUUUGCUGGCUACCAGAGGACACUGGACAACUAUGACCAAAAUAAUCUUUUUUAAGACUGUGUUCACUGAACUUUUGGCACUAUAGAGGGUCUGCUAAUAAGUGCGCAUUUUUAUUCAUAAAUUUGUGGAGCUGUACGUGACUAACACUGCGUGAGGAAGCAAUCCAAACCGUGUGCGUGGCACAGUCACUGGAGUUGGCAAGCAUUCAGUUUGUGAUGCAGAAAAUCCAUGAAAAAGUUUUAGACAAGUUUUACACUGCUGGAAAUGCAGCGAAUGGGACACAAGUUAGGCAGUCAUUUAAGCUAUUUAUCACAGAGAAUAUUCAAUCACUACGUUUCAGUUUCAUUUCUAAUGUGCAGCUGUCACUUUAGAAAUAAACAGCAUCUCUGAGAUGUUUCUCAUCGAUGAGAAAUCCAUUUAAAUCCAUUAAAAAACAAAGCAGCAGAUGAACUGUGAAAUAUCCAAGAAUUGCAGAUUCAACAACACGUCUCUGUUUUCCAUAUCCUGUCAGUCUACUGCCUCUACAGAUUACAGAUAGCAGCACAGAUGAACAAAAUCUUGUAUUUUAUGCAAAAUAAUAAUGUGUAUAUCUUUGUAUAAUUAAAACAACUUACUGAAAUCGAUAAAUACUUUAGUCUUUAUUUAUAAUCCUGUUUUAUAGACUAAGGCUGGUAUCAGUUUUUACACUUUUGUUGGGCAGAUUCAGGGUAAAGGUCUAAACUCGUUCAGUCACAUUUUGACGUGUGACUGAACAAAAAACUGGAUCCCAGAUAUCAGAAUAAAGUAAAUAAACGGACACACACACAAAGUAUCAGCAUCUGCCGUCAGUGAAUGUCAUCUUAUUUGCAGACAGACUGAUGGGUAUUAUGGCCAAAAAGCUUGAUGAUGUCCCGUUGGUACAGGGUCCCACCUUCAGUGAACAUAAUUUUCAUCACUUUUCAGAGAUGAAUCUAGACAGGAUCUACAUGGAUUACAAUGCUACUACCCCUCCAGAAUCAGAGGUGAUUCAGGCCAUUUCUGAAGCCCUCCAGGAUGCCUGGGGAAACCCGAGUAGCAACUAUAUAGCAGGUGCUAAAGCUAAGGCUAUCAUCAAUCAGUCCAGAGAAAAUGUGGCAAGAAUGGUUGGAGGGAAAGCAGAGGACAUCGUUUUUACCUCUGGCGGGACUGAGGCCAAUAACCUGGUGCUGCACACCGCUGUAGAGCACUUCAGGAAACACUGCAGGGCUGCAGAACAGGGUGCAGGACACCAGAAUGGAUGCACGGGCCUUCCUCACAUCAUCACUUCUAAUGUGGAGCAUGACUCAGUCAAACUAGUUGCUCAGCACCUUGAAAAGGAAGGAAAAGCAGACGUGACUUUUGUGCCCGUGUCUAAGGUGACAGCCCGGGUAGAGGUGGAGGAUAUCAUUGCUGCUGUGCGCCCCAACACUUGUCUCAUCUCUGUUAUGCUGGCCAACAAUGAGACAGGAGUCAUUAUGCCGCUUCAGGAGAUCUGCCAAAGAAUAAAGUCUCUGAACAAGCAGCGUGAGCGCCUCAGGAUCCUGCUCCACACAGAUGCUGCUCAGGCGUUGGGGAAAAUCCGAGUUGAUGUCAGUGAUCUGGGAGUGGAUUACCUCACCAUAGUGGGACACAAGUUCUAUGCCCCUCGCAUUGGUGCUUUGUAUGUGAACGGCCCUGGGACAAAAACUCCAUUGUAUCCGAUGCUUUUUGGUGGAGGACAGGAGAGGAACUUUAGACCAGGCACAGAAAACACACCGAUGAUUGCCGGUCUUGGAAAGACAGAAGACUGCCUGAGAAACCUCCUGCGUUUGGCUGAACAACAUUUUUACAUUCUGUGGGAACAUUUUUGGCUUUUUUUGCCAGACAGAAAGCUAGGAGGAACAACAUGCAGGGAACGCUUUGGGGUGGAAUCGAAGUCAGACCUUUGCAGUCUUUUGGCACAUGGGUCACAUCUGCUGCCAAGUGAUUGUCCUUUUUUGCUUUAUUGAAUAGUAAGCAGGCUGCAGAGCUGGUGACCUCUAAUCUGUCAGAUUAUGAGAGUCAUAUGCAAAGAAUUAAACUUUACUUGGAAGAACGACUGCAGGCCGUGUUUGCAGGCAGGAUCCGCUUCAACAGCCAUUUCCUCGGCUCUGAUA